AUGGAGAUAAUUAAAUGCGAAACUAAAGCGUUAAGAAAACCCAACCAAGCGCUCAAAAGCUGGUGCUUUCCCACAUUUAAGGGUCUGGCUGCAAAGCUUAACUCUGCUGCAUAUCCUCCUCUCCAUUUUUACAGUACCGUCAGCACCAGAAAGGAUUACGUCUCGGCCCUGGUGUUGAGUCCUGUGGUUUUCACCAGCAGCCUCGUAGCUUGCUCGCAUCCAAGAUUUGCUGAUUUUUGCAUUGCCCGAAUUGGAAAGAAAGGGUCAUUUGGAAAUGUGUUCAGACACAGUAACAAUCUGCAAUCAGCCGCCGUACCAGAACCUGGCGCAGCUCUUGGUCUUGGGGUCGUAGUACCACUUCAGCACGAAGUCCCUGCAGGUCCCCUCUUCCUUCUGCAGCCGGCAGAUGUCCGUGGCUGCAAGGAAAAGCAGGAGCACCAAGGGAAAAAUAAACCAAGAUAUGCCGAGUACACCAGCAACAAGUGGUCAGGAAAUCCAGGACCUGAAAUUGCCUUGUGA
rnacentral:lncRNA from 1 species